rfam:Xanthomonas albilineans GPE PC73 complete genome
ACAUACCACGAAUACACUGCGGUUCCUGCGUACCAUCUGCACCCAUCUGACGGCGGCUCGCGACGUUUUGUUAGGG